UUUAACACUUGGAAUAUGGAUGAACAGAAAACAUUAGUCCACCCUCGCCUUAUCACCCUCACAGACCCAACAGGCCAACGAUCAAAUCACCUGCAACUUCUAUUCUCUUUUGCGUAGAAAAUCUGGGUAUAAUUCAUCUGUUAUACAGAGAUUAAAGAAAGAACAGAGCACAUAGAGAGAUGUGUACGGCAGCUGAUUCUUUCCUAUCUGCCGCCACCAGUUUUGGCUGCCGAUGAUGCUAAAUUUAUAUUUUCAACAUGUUUAACAAGGAAGAGGCUGUGUCAGCAUCUCCAACAAAUCUCAGCAGUUGCUGCAUAGUUUUGACUUCAAUAAAGUACAUGAUGGCCAACUAGUUCCAUGGCUGGGGAAAUUUGUUGCAAGAUUGAUGUGCAUUCCGUCACAAAGUAUUUUCCAUCCCCCGGAAUCUCCUUUUUGCAGCCUCCUCCUCAUGGACCUGAAACAUCACGGUUCUCAGUUCCAAAUGCAGUAGAUGAUCAAUCAAAUUUGUCAAGCAAUGAGCAAGCAGCAUCUAAACAUCUCAAGGACAUCCAUAUGUCAGGAUGCCUGAUGGAGGAUUUUCUUACUGCUGCUAGGGAGAACACUGAGAAAAAUCUUGAGACAUGUGGAGUUCUUGGCGCCUUCCUUAAAGAUGGAACAUUCUACGUCACUACUCUCAUAAUUCCAAAACAGGAGGCCACCUCCAAUUCUUGUCAAGCAGUAAAUGAGGAGGAGAUUUAUGCCAUUCAAAACGAAGAGUCCCUAUUCCCUAUUGGGUGGAUUCAUACACAUCCAUCUCAGAGUUGUUUCAUGUCAUCAAUUGACCUGCACACCCAAUAUACUUAUCAGGUGAUGGUACCGGAAGCCGUGGGCAUUGUCAUGGCUCCAACCGACCAUUCGAGAAAAUGCGGAAUUUUCAGACUGUCCGACCCUGACGGGAUGAGCAUUCUGAGGGAAUGCCACGAAACGGGCUUUCACACUCACAGAGAAACAUCUAAUGGAAGCCCCAUUUACGAGGAUUCCACCAACAUCAUUUUCAACCCAAACCUGAGACUGGAAAUAUUCGAUCUGCGGUGAAAAUUUAACUCUCACGUAAAAUCCUGUCUGUAUCAUACAACUUUGUAUUCUGUGAGUUUUGCAUCAGAGAAGUGAGGCAAGUGAAUAGGUGAAUGGGGAGGUGGUGCCCCCUUUGUGAACAAUGCCGUACUGUACCGUUGGAUAUGAGAAGAGCAGCCCAUGUGCAUGAUUGUAAGGUUCUGCUGCAAGGAUGGUUGUGGACAAGAGAGUGAAACAAGUCGCUUAUCAUGGCAAGAAUAAUCAGGAUGUAUUAGUCAGAGGAAAGUUUUCUUCUUAUUUGUUAUAUGCUAAUGCUGCUGUUAGUAGUUCUUGAAGAACUUGGUUUGUUGCUAAGAGACCAAACUUAACUUGUAUAUCUCAAAUGGAGAAAUAAAGACGAGAGUUCUUGGUUGCGUUGAA